AAAGUUGAGGUAGGUGCGAGAAAUGACGGAUCUGAAUCGUUCAUUGUCUCUCAGCUACUUCUACUGUG
rnacentral:pre_miRNA from 1 species